rnacentral:lncRNA from 1 species
UCAUGUUUAGUGAAAUAUGAAUUUGGAGCAUGUGGUAGUAGUUAAAUAAAUUAUACAUGUUGGACAUGAAAACUGAAUUAGGAGAAAACCAGCGAUUUGAACCUGUCAUAUGCUUAACUACCUGAUUUAGCUCUAGGAGCCGUGGUUUGAUUGUAUCCCCGCAGUUUCAGAGCGGUGGAUGCCCAGGGUAGUUUAGAAUGCAUUUACGCUCGUGCUGAGAUGCCGAGUGUAUUUUUACUGUAGUGUUCAGGCUGUUCCGGACUGUCGGAUGCCGUUGGGGGUUGACGGUGGAUCCAGAUUACUGAUGUUGUAUCAGAUUGUGCCGAGGGCACGUGCGUUUUGGUCAUUAGGCCAGUUCGACCCUGUUUAUUUGAUUAUAGCCUGUGAGAGCCUGAUUGAGCUCGACAGAGAU